rnacentral:lncRNA from 1 species
AAGAGACAGAAUAUACCAAAAGGGGAGAAAAAAAAAAGAAGGGCAAAUGUAGAGGCCCCAAUUUGGACAAUAUACGAGAAAUACAGACAAGGUUGCAAGAAUCUGGGAGAACGGCUGGGCUGGCUCUGCACAGCUCAGGCCAGCUCUUGAUGCCCUCGGCUCGCUGCUUCUCCCGACUUGAUGCUGCAAAUGCUCUAAUUACAUCAUGCAGCAGGAAGAAGGCCUGGUGCCCGUGGACGACCAUCAGUGUGAGCUCCUGCCAAGAAGUGCUUUUUUUAAACAACAAUUCUCAACUCUUGGUUGUUCUACUCGUCUCAUUAUGAGGAUAUAGCACAGCUGACUGGUUUGCUGAGAAAUUCAAGCAGCAAAGUCUCUGCUUCUCUGUGAAAACCCAGCCAGAUCCUCUUUUCUCCAAAGUGAGAACUUCUGGAAAGGGCUUCUGAGCACAUCAGAACAAGCAUGGGGAGCAGUAAUUAGAAUGGACUUCAGUACACCACAGGUCAGGUCUACAAAGGGAGAUGGGGUGGAGAGAUCCGGGCAACAAAAGUUUGCACACUUUCCCAAAUUACAUUCCUGCAGCAGAUCAAAGUUUUGUUUUGUUUUGUUUCUCAAACCACACCAAAGCACCCAUUUGUAGGCCAAAAUCUUCAAGGGCACUUUUAAAGUAUUUG